rnacentral:rRNA from 1 species
AGUGAACGCUGGCGGUAGGCCUAACACAUGCAAGUCGAACGGCAGCACAGGAGAGCUUGCUCUCUGGGUGGCGAGUGGCGGACGGGUGAGGAAUACAUCGGAAUCUACUCUGUCGUGGGGGAUAACGUAGGGAAACUUACGCCAAUACCGCAUACGACCUACGGGUGAAAGCAGGGGACCUUCGGGCCUUGCGUGAUUGAAUGAGCCGAUGUCGGAUUAGCGAGUUGGCGGGGUAAAGGCCCACCAAGGCGACGAUCCGUAGCUGGUCUGAGGGGAUGCUCAGCAACACUGGAACUGAGACACGGUCCAGACUCCUACGGGAGGCAGCAGUGGGGAAUAUUGGACAAUGGGCGCAAGCCUGAUUCAGCCAUACCGCGUGGGUGAAGAAGGCCUUCGGGUUGUAAAGCCCUUUUGUUGGGAAAGAAAUCCAGCUGGCUAAUACCCGGUUGGGAUGACGGUACCCAAAGAAUAAGCACCGGCUAACUUCGUGCCAGCCGCCGCGGUAA